GGUGUCGUGGCGGAGCGGUCGAACGCAACGGUCUGCAAAACCGUAUUCUACAUCGCGGGUUCGAAUCCCGCCGACACCUCCA
rnacentral:tRNA from 1 species